rnacentral:rRNA from 1 species
GACGAACGCUGGCGGCGUGCUUAACACAUGCAAGUCGAACGGAAAGGCCCUGCUUUUGUGGGGUGCUCGAGUGGCGAACGGGUGAGUAACACGUGAGUAACCUGCCCUUGACUUUGGGAUAACUUCAGGAAACUGGGGCUAAUACCGGAUAGGAGCUCCUGCUGCAUGGUGGGGGUUGGAAAGUUUCGGCGGUUGGGGAUGGACUCGCGGCUUAUCAGCUUGUUGGUGGGGUAGUGGCUUACCAAGGCUUUGACGGGUAGCCGGCCUGAGAGGGUGACCGGCCACAUUGGGACUGAGAUACGGCCCAGACUCCUACGGGAGGCAGCAGUGGGGAAUAUUGCACAAUGGGCGGAAGCCUGAUGCAGCAACGCCGCGUGCGGGAUUACGGCCUUCGGGUUGUAAACCGCUUUCGCCUGUGACGAAGCGUGGGUGACGGUAAUGGGUAAAGAAGCACCGGCUAACUACGUG